GAGUUUGAUUAUGGCUCAGGAUGAACGCUAGCGAAAUGCCUAACACAUGCAAGUCGAACGGAUCUUGCGCUGUACUUGUACAGAGUAAGAUUAGUGGCAAACGAGCGAGUAACGCGUGCUUAACCUGCCCCGAAGAUGGGUAUAACUGCAGAGAUGUAGCUAAUUCCCAAUAUGCUCACGAUGGUGAAAUCCCAAUGUGAGGAAAGAUUUAUCGCUUCGGGAGGGGGGUGCGUCCUAUCAGGUAGUUGGUAAGGUAACGGCUUACCAAGCCUAUGACGGGUAACCGGUCUGAGAUGAUGUCCGGUCGCGAUGGGACUGAGAUACGGCCCAUACUCCUACGGGAGGCAGCAGUGGGGAAUCUUGCACAAUGGACGAAAGUCUGAUGCAGCAAUUUCGCGUGAAGGAUGAAGCAUUACGGUGUGUAAACUUCUUUUUUGGAGGAAGACGAA
rnacentral:rRNA from 1 species